rnacentral:rRNA from 1 species
UCUGGGCGUAAAGCGUGCGCAGGCGGUUUUGUAAGUCUGACGUGAAAGCCCCGGGCUCAACCUGGGAAUUGCGUUGGAGACUGCAAGGCUUGAAUCUGGCAGAGGGGGGUAGAAUUCCACGUGUAGCAGUGAAAUGCGUAGAGAUGUGGAGGAACACCGAUGGCGAAGGCAGCCCCCUGGGUCAAGAUUGACGCUCAUGCACGAAAGCGUGGGGAGCAAACAGGAUUAGAUACCCUGGUAGUCCACGCCCUAAACGAUGUCUACUAGUUGUCGGGUUUUAAUUAACUUGGUAACGCAGCUAACGCGUGAAGUAGACCGCCUGGGGAGUACGGUCGCGAGAUUAAAACUCAAAGGAAUUGACGGGGACCCGCACAAGCGGUGGAUGAUGUGGAU